AGUGAACGCUGGCGGUAGGCCUAACACAUGCAAGUCGAACGGCAGCACAGUAAGAGCUUGCUCUUACGGGUGGCGAGUGGCGGACGGGUGAGGAAUACAUCGGAAUCUACUUUUUCGUGGGGGAUAACGUAGGGAAACUUACGCUAAUACCGCAUACGACCUACGGGUGAAAGCAGGGGAUCUUCGGACCUUGCGCGAUUGAAUGAGCCGAUGUCGGAUUAGCUAGUUGACGGGGUAAAGGCCCACCAAGGCGACGAUCCGUAGCUGGUCUGAGAGGAUGAUCAGCCACACUGGAACUGGGACACGGUCCAGACUCCUACGGGAGGCAGCAGUGGGGAAUAUUGGACAAUGGGCGCAAGCCUGAUCCAGCCAUACCGCGUGGGUGAAGAAGGCCUUCGGGUUGUAAAGCCCUUUUGUUGGGAAAGAAAAGCAGCAGGUUAAUACCCCGCUGUUCUGACGGUACCCAAAGAAUAAGCACCGGCUAACUUCGUG
rnacentral:rRNA from 1 species